GUAGUACUCCCUCCAUCCGGAAAUACUUGUCAUCAAAAUGAAUAAAAGGGGAUGUAUCUAGAUGUAUAUUAGUUCUAGAUACAUCUUUUUUAUCCAUUUUGAUGACAAGUAUUUUCAGACAGAGGGAGUACUUG
rfam:Triticum aestivum genome assembly, contig: Triticum_aestivum_CS42_TGACv1_scaffold_080355_1DS